rnacentral:rRNA from 1 species
CCUACGGGCGGCUGCAGUGAGGAAUAUUGGUCAAUGGGCGCGAGCCUGAACCAGCCAAGUCGCGUGAAGGAUGACUGCCCUACGGGUUGUAAACUUCUUUUAUAAAGGACUAAAGUGAGGCACGUGUGCCUUUUUGUAUGUACUUUAUGAAUAAGGAUCGGCUAACUCCGUGCCAGCAGCCGCGUUAAUACGGAGGAUCCGAGCGUUAUCCGGAUUUAUUGGGUUUAAAGGUAGCGUAGAUGGGUUGUUAGGUCAGUUGUGAAAGUGUGCGGCUCAACCGUAAAAUUGCAAUUGAUACUGGCAGCCUUGAGUACAGAUGAGGUAGGCGGAAUGCGUGGUGUAGCGGUGAAAUGCUUAGAUAUCACGAAGAACUCCGAUUGCGAAGGCAGCUUACGAAACUGCCACUGACAUUGAUGCUCGAAAGUGUGGGUAUCAAACAGGAUUAGAUACCCCAGUAGUC